rnacentral:rRNA from 1 species
ACGCGAGCUGGGUUCAGAACGUCGUGAGACAGUUCGGUCCCUAUCCGUCGCAGGCGUAGGAAAUUUGAGAAGACCUGUCCUUAGUACGAGCGGACCGGGAUGGACGUACCUCUGGUGUACCAGUUGUCCUGCCAAGGGCAUGGCUGGGUAGCUAUGUACGGAAUGGAUAAGCGCUGAAAGCAUCUAAGCGCGAAGCCAACUUCAAGAUAAGAUUUCCC